rfam:Triticum aestivum genome assembly, contig: Triticum_aestivum_CS42_TGACv1_scaffold_499668_6BL
UACUUACUCAUUCCGUUUGAAAUUACUCGUCUAAGAAAUAAAUGUAUCUAAAUGUAUUUUAGUUGUAGAUACAUCCAUUUCUAUCAUUUUUGUGACAAGUAAUUUCAAAUGGAGGGAGUACAUC